GUAAGGAAUAUUGGGCAAUGGGCGCAAGCCUGACCCAGCCAUGCCGCGUGAAGGAUGACGGCCCUAUGGGUUGUAAACUUCUUUUGUACGGGAAAAAACCACCGGUCGUGACCGGUGCUGAUGGUACCGUAAGAAUAAGCAUCGGCUAACUCCGUGCCAGCAGCCGCGGUAAUACGGAGGAUGCAAGCGUUAUCCGGAUUCAUUGGGUUUACAGGGUGCGCAGGCGGAAUAAUAAGUCAGUGGUGAAAUCCUACGGCUCAACUGUAGAACUGCCAUUGAUACUGUUAUUCUUGAGUACACUUGAAGUGGGCGGAAUGUGUCAUGUAGCGGUGAAAUGCUUAGAUAUGACACAGAACACCGAUCGCGAAGGCAGCUCACUAAAUUGUAACUGACGCUCAUGCACGAAAGCGUGGGGAUCAAACAGGAUUAGAUACCCUUGUAGUC
rnacentral:rRNA from 1 species